ACCGGCGCACGGGUGCGUAACGCGUAUAGACCUACCUUUUACAGAGGAGUAGCCUUUAGAAAUGAAGAUUAAUGCCUUAUAGUCUCGCAUGAGUAAAGAUUUAUCGGUAAAAGAUGGCUAUGCGUCCUAUUAGCUAGAUGGUAAGGUAACGGCUUACCAUGGCAACGAUAGGUAGGGGUCCUGAGAGGGAGAUCCCCCACACUGGUACUGAGACACGGACCAGACUCCUACGGGAGGCAGCAGUGAGGAAUAUUGGGCAAUGGAGGCAACUCUGACCCAGCCAUGCCGCGUGCAGGAAGAAGGCCUAUGGGUUGUAAACUGCUUUUAUACAGGAAGAAACAGCUCUACGUGUAGAGCCUUGACGGUACUGUAAGAAUAAGCACCGGCUAACUCCGUGCCAGCAGCCGCGGUAAUACGGAGGGUGCAAGCGUUAUCCGGAAUCAUUGGGUUUAAAGGGUCCGCAGGCGGUCAAUUAAGUCAGAGGUGAAAUCCCAUAGCUUAACUAUGGAACUGCCUUUGAUACUGGUUGACUUGAGUCAUAUGGAAGUAGAUAGAAUGUGUAGUGUAGCGGUGAAAUGCAUAGAUAUUACACAGAAUACCCAUUGCGAAGGCAGUCUACUACGUAUGUACUGACGCUCAUGGACGAACGGCGGAGGAGCCGACAGGAUAGAAUACCCUGGUAGUUCCGCCCG
rnacentral:rRNA from 1 species